GGCAGCUGGAGCGGCGGUUCCGGGCUCCCUUACCCCUGGCGCCGCAGAAUUUGGGGAACCCUCCCUCCUGAAGGUUCUUGGCUUUGUUCACUUUGCUCCGGAAAUCCUCCCUUUGCGGGGCGAGCACUGGGUGCUAGCUCUCCCCAAGCCCUCUCUAUACUUUCGUGCUGAUUGGGUGGUCCGAGGGAGAGACGGGGAAGGAAGCGAGCCGGCGCUGGCCCUGCGCUCCCGGGCGCUGGCGCUAUCUCCCGGGCGCUGGCGCUGUCUCCCGGGCGCUGGCGCUGUCUCCCGGGCGCUGGCGCUGUCUCCCGGGCGCUGGCCCUGCUCUCCCGGGCGCUGGCGCUGUCUCCCGGGCGCUGGCGCUGUCUCCCGGGCGCUGGCCCUGCUCUCCCGGGCGCUGGCCCUGUCUCCCGAGCUCCGGCACGGACCGUCCUGUGCCCUGAAUGCGCGCUGCUCACAUGCUUGUUAAGUCCCUUAGCAGAUCCUGCGGGGGCCGGGAGCGAUAAAGCCUCGAUCCUUCGCUACCCAGGGAUUAAUAAAUCAAUGUCAAUUAGCCUCCCACAAUUUAUGGUUGCCCCAAGCUUGCAUUGGAACUGCCGGCUACCAGGCCAGGUGCCUCUGGUACUCCUGUCAGAGAGGUCAGUCAGCAGGCCCAGAUGCACUAACUCGCAGCCAGAAACGGCGGCCUCGAGGCUAACCAGAUUCUGCUCCUCAGUAAAACAGUGGUUUGGACGCGUGACCCCUCACGCUCAGAAGCUGUGGUCAGUGUCCUACCCGCGCUGCAGGCUGUCCGACAUGUUCAAGGCCCUGUAGCUUAGACUAGUGCUUAGUGGUGAACCCCAAGGUCAAGGCCAGGGAUCUUAGGCUUGUCAUCUGUGUGACCUUGGGCAUGAGAAUACUCUCUGGUCUGUCCCAUUUCCUCAUCUGCCCAGUUGGGGCGGAUGAUCUUUAAAGUCACUUCCAGUUCUGUAACUUAUUUCUUGAGUCCCCUUAUGGGUAAAAUUGUAGAGAAAAACGUCCUUUUUCUUUUUUCUUUCAUAUUCCCUUCUUUCCAUAAAUCACUCUCCUCUUUUCCAAGAUAGGAAAGUAUGUUGGCUGUUCCCCCACCUGUCAAGAAAUGGAGGGAUCUCACCAACUCAUUCGUGCCAAGGUUAUUAGGGACUGAGUGUACUGUCUGUCCUCGGAGUGUUUGCAUUUUAACACUGGUGCUGCCAUUGAUUCAGUUGUAGACAAUGAACCAGACUUGGCAAUGAAUUGGAAGUGGGACUUGAGGGAGUAGGAAGAGGCAAAGAUGAACCAGAUGGCUGAGAAGAAGGGACACCAGAAAUGCAUAAGCGCAUCAUCUCCCUGUCUGCAGACCUAAUUCUAAUGUCUUUUCCAACCUCUUCCCAUAUUAAAGCUGCCUGUGGGCAUCUCACAUUUGCCUUGUCUGGAACAGAAGUCAUUGAGCUUCCUUCCCAGACUCUUGGUUACCCCAAAGCAUUCUAUUUCUUUUUUUAUUAUAGCUUUUUAUUUACAAGUUAUAUGCAUGGGUAAUUUUUUAGCACUGACAAUUGCAAAACCUUUUGUUCCAGUUUUUCCCCUCAUUCCUCCCACCCCCUCCCCCAUAUGGCAGGUUGACCAAUACAUGUUAAAUAUGUCAAAGUAUAAAUUAAAUACAAGUAUACAUGUCCAUACAGUUAUUUUGCUGCACAAAAAGAAUCGGACUUUGACAUAGUGUACAAUUAACCUGUGAAGGAAAUAAAAAAUGCAGGCGGACCAAAAAAAAGGGAUUGGGAAUUCUAUGCAGUGCAAACCAUCCUAUUUCUGUUGAUGAUACUUUAAACUUCCCAGUCACCCUUGGGGUCAGAACUUCAACUCAUCUUUACUGUUUCCCUUUCCAUUGAACCUUCUUUCCAGUGAGUUGUCAAGUUUUGUCCAUCGCAAUACAAUCUUUAAGGUAGGUCAGGCUUUGAUCACCUCUCUCACCUGGACUAUCAUCUAGCCUUCUCCCUGGUUUCCUCUGACAUUGCAGACUUUUCAAAACCUGGCUCCUUUUUCUAAAUUUCCGUUUUUUCCAUUCCCUGAUGUCUCUCCCUAGCACAUUUCACUUUCCUGUCUUGAUGUCAGUGGCUGGGAGCCAUGCUUGUGGUUAUCUGCCCACUCAUUUCUCCUUCUUAGUUUUCCUGGCUUCCUCCAAGGCCCAGCUCCAAGCCCAUCUUUCCUGGAGGUCUUUCCUGGUCUUCCCAGAUACAAAUGCUCUCCCUUUUCAGAUUACCUUCCAUCUAUGCUGGGACAGCUAAAUCAAGCAAUGGAUAGAGCACUGGGCCUGGAGUCAGGAAGACCUGAAUUCAAAUCCAUCUUAGACACUAGCUGUAUGACCCUGAGCAAAUCACUUAAUCCUGUUUGCCUCAGUUUCCUCAUCUGUAAAAUAAGCUGGAGAAGGAAAUAGCAAAUCAUCCAGUACCUCUGCCAAGAAAACCCAAAAUGGGGUCACAAGAGUCAGACGUGACUAAAGAACAAAAACAAUGCUGGAUCUAUCUUGUUUGUGCCUAGUAGUUUAUGUACUCUCCCUCAUGUUAGUAUGGAAGUUCUUUGAAGUCAGGGACUACGUCUCUUCCCUUGCUUUGUAUCCCCAGUGCUUAACACAGAGAUUGAAUUGUAAGAAGUACUUAAUAAAUGCUCCUUAGCUUUUUGCCUCCUUAAUGUUCCUAAAACCCAGACCUCAGUUGCUUGGAACAGGGAUGGGUCUGGGGAGGAAACAUGAGCUCUGUUUCAAACAAGAGCCCCGUGAGCCUGCCACCCUUCAGAAAUCUUUGCUGAUUUCCUUUUGCCUCGAGGAUAAAAUACAAAAUCUUCAGUCUGACAUUUGAGCUCUUCAUAAUCAAAUUCCCAGCUACCUUUCUAGUGUUAUUUCACAUUACUCAUCUUUACUCAUUCUUCAUUCUAGUCAAACUAGCUUGGUUGCUGCUUCUCUCUGCAAAUGACAUUCCACCUCCUAGAAUCCCUAGUUUCCUUUAGAGCAUGAUUCAGGUUCUCCCACCUAUAUGAAGCCUUCCCUGAUCUCUCUCGUUAUGGUCACGUUUGAAAUCAUAUUCUAUGAAUUUUUUUUUAUUUGCCUUAUUUAACAUAAAGAACUGCUAGGACCAAUGGGGUGGGACAAUUUCUUCCACUAAGGAACCUCUUUAUUUUUGUCUCUUCCAGGCCUGGGUCAUGAAGAGGGAUCAGGCUCCUUUUAUCCUCCAGCUCCUUGGCUCAUUAAGACUCCUCAUUCUGGUCAGCCAAGGGUUGAUGCAAAGAGAAGUGCAUGAAUAAAAGGGGACUCCUUCCAAGUAACACCUUCAGACCAACCCAGUGAGCUCACAGACUUGAGACAAUGCACAGGAAAAACAACGCAGCCCUCUUAGCCUGGAGAAUUCUCCCAUCAUGCCUGUAAUUACCCUUGGUUUCAAAGAGAUGAAGACAACCUUGCGAAAUAGGUGCUUAAAGUAGAUAGAAUACAGUUCCUGGAAGCAGGGAAACAUCUUCCUGAAUUCAAAUUCUGCCUGAGAUACUUACUAGCUAUGGGAUCCUGGACAGUUUCCUUAUCUGCAAAGUGAUCUGAAGAAGGAAAUGGCAAAUCACUCCAAUAUCUUGCCAAGAAAACCUCAAAUGAAGUCACAAAGAAACAAAUACAACUGAAAGGUGACCGAACAAAAACAACAAUAAGAAAUGUUAGUUCUUAAUGUAACAUGUAAAAUGAGACACAUGUUUUUGCACCAACAUGGAAAUUCAUUUUUUAAAACUAUGCUUAUUUGUUUCAAGAGUUUUAUUUUUCUCUUGGAAGAAGGAGAGAUGGGGUUGAGAGGAAUAAAUACUUAGCACAUGCCUGGCACAUAGUAGGAACUUAAUAUAUGACUAACAGAAUAACAUUUAAAAUUUUUUUAUAUUUAUAUUUAAUAUUUUUAUUUUCCCCAGUUACAUGUAAAACAAUUUUUUACAUUUGUUUUUAAAACUUUGAGUUCCAGAUUCUUUUUCUUCUUUCCCACCCCCCACAUGUGGAGUUUUGCAAAAUAUUUCCAUAAAAAUCAUGCUGUGAAAGAAAACAUAGACCCUGCCCCCCCCCCCAAAAAAAAAACCCUCAAGAAAAAGAGCGUGCUUCAAUCUGUAUUCAGACACAAUCAGUUUUUUCUCUGGGUCUGGAUAGAAUUUUUCAUCAUAAAUCCUUCAGAAUAGUCAUGGAUUAUUGUAUUGCUGAGAAUAGCAAAAUCAUUCACUGCUGGUCAUCCCACAACAUUGCUAUUACUUUGUACAUAGAACACUUCAUUUUUCCUGAGUUUAUGGAUGACUUUUCAGGUUUCUGAAUAGCAAUUUUUAAAAAAUUCAUUUUGAAAAAAGAGAAUUAUCCCUACUUUUACUCCUCAAUAUAAUGACCAGGGAGAAAAUUGUAUUCAAGGAAAGGGUGUAUAUCAGAAAAGUUUGAAAAACAUGACUUGAUCUAUCCCUAUCAUUUUUACAGAGGAGGCCACGGAAGUCCAGAAAAUGAAUUCUAAGUAAUGUCCAAACAAAUAGACGAGCUAGGGUUUGCACGUAACUCUCUGGCUCCCAAGUCUUGGAUUCCUUCCACUACCCACUUGAAACCUCAUUCCUCUUCUUCCUCCUCCUCCUCCUCUCUGCUUUUACUUCUCUCCUCCCUCCCUUCUCCUUCCAUUUGACCUCCAUAGCAAAGGGUAGGGCAGACGAGGUGCCUGAUCAGCCCCUGAGUCACCGGGCAGCAUCCCUGUGUCAUCCCUGUUACGAGCACGUGUCCACCUCCUCGGGAGAAGCUCUUCAGAUGGAGAACCACAUCCUUGUUGACUGGGGGAUUCAUCCAUUUGAUCAGGGGCUCACCGUCAUUGCCACUGUGCAUUAGACUUAGAGCCCCGUGACUGACCUCAUGAUCACAGGACUGCCUCCCACAGGAAGGAGAGAUGAGAUUGAGAAGAACAGAUACUUAGCACAGUGCCUGGCACAUAGUGUGAGCUCAAUAAAAGCAAUCGACUAAAUGAAAAAUGAUAUUCCACAUGACGCGUGGCACAUGACAUGCAACAUAUAUGUGACAUACAAAUAUCACAUACACUGCAAGUAUAUGAAAUCUGUAACACAUGAUAUGAGGUAUGCUAUAUAUGUGAUGUGUGAUACACAUAUGAUAUGCAAAAUCUAUGUAUACAAGAAAUAUAGAUGAUAGAUAUUAUACCCACAUAUGAGAUAUGGAACACGAUAUACAUAUGUGAUAUGUGAUAUAUUAUUUGUAAGCAAUGUGUG